rnacentral:tRNA from 2 species
UGCCGGGAUAGCUCAGUCGGUAGAGCAGAGGA